GAGUUUGAUCCUGGCUCAGGACGAACGCUGGCGGCGUGCCUAACACAUGCAAGUCGAGCGGAGAUGAUAUUUAUAUCAUUUUAGCGGCGGACGGGUGAGUAACGCGUGAGAAACCUGCCUUAAGAAGGGGGAUAACACAUCGAAAGAUGUGCUAAUACCGCAUAAUAAGUAAUGACCGCAUGGUCGAUACUUCAAAGGAGUAAUCCGUCUUGAGAUGGUCUCGCGUCUGAUUAGCUAGUUGGUAGGGUAAAGGCCUACCAAGGCGACGAUCAGUAGCCGAACUGAGAGGUUGAUCGGCCACAUUGGGACUGAGACAC
rnacentral:rRNA from 1 species